rnacentral:rRNA from 1 species
UGGGGAAUAUUGCACAAUGGGGGAAACCCUGAUGCAGCGACGCCGCGUGAGUGAAGAAGUAUCUCGGUACGUAAGGCUCUAUCAGCAGGGAAGAAAAUGACGGUACCUGACUAAGAAGCCCCGGCUAACUACGUGCCAGCAGCCGCGGUAAUACGUAGGGGGCAAGCGUUAUCCGGAUUUACUGGGUGUAAAGGGAGCGUAGGCGGCGAUGCAAGUCAGAAGUGAAAGCCCGGGGCUCAACUCCGGGACUGCUUUUGAAACUGUGUUGCUAGAUUGCAGGAGAGGUAAGUGGAAUUCCUAGUGUAGCGGUGAAAUGCGUAGAUAUUAGGAGGAACACCAGUGGCGAAGGCGGCUUACUGGACCGUAACUGACGUUGAGGCUCGAAAGCGUGGGGAGCAAACAGG